AGUGAACGCUGGCGGUAGGCCUAACACAUGCAAGUCGAACGGCAGCACAGUAAGAGCUUGCUCUUACGGGUGGCGAGUGGCGGACGGGUGAGGAAUACAUCGGAAUCUACUUUUUCGUGGGGGAUAACGUAGGGAAACUUACGCUAAUACCGCAUACGACCUACGGGUGAAAGCAGGGGAUCUUCGGACCUUGCGCGAUUGAAUGAGCCGAUGUCGGAUUAGCUAGUUGGCGGGGUAAAGGCCCACCAAGGCGACGAUCCGUAGCUGGUCUGAGAGGAUGAUCAGCCACACUGGAACUGAGACACGGUCCAGACUCCUACGGGAGGCGGCAGUGGGGAAUAUUGGACAAUGAGCGCAAGCCUAAUCCAACCAUACCGCGUGGGUAAAGAAGGCCUUCGGGUUGUAAAGCCCUUUUGUUGAGAAAGAAAAGCAGCAGGUUAAUACCCCGCUGUUCUGACGGUACCCAAAGAAUAAGCACCGGCUAACUUCGUG
rnacentral:rRNA from 1 species